CCAGUGAAUUUUUAACGGCCGCAGUAUCCUAACCGCGCGAAGGUAGCAUAAUCACUUGUUCUUUAAAUGAGGACUUGUAUCAACGGCAUCACGAGGGUUUUACUGUCUCCUCUUUCUGAUCAGUGAAAUUGAUCUUCCCGUGAAGAAGCGGGAAUAUAUAUAUAAGACGAGAAGACCCCAUGGAGCUUCAAACCUGGCAACAACUUAACCGUAAAAUCCCUAAUAGUUAUAAAGCAAUGCUGUAAGGUUUUGGGUUGGGGUGACCACGGAGUAAAACACAACCUCCACGACGAAAAGACCGCAAUCUUUAUUUAAGAACAACAAUUCUAGAAAUUAGCACACUAACGCUUUCUGAUCCGACAAUCGAUCAACGGACCAAGUUACCCUGGGGAUAACAGCGCAAUCUACUUCAAGAGCCCAUAUCGACAAGUAGGCUUACGACCUCGAUGUUGGAUCAGGAUAUCCCAGUGGUGCAGCCGCUACUAA
rnacentral:rRNA from 1 species